CGCAUCUGUGCAUGCAGCAUAUCAAUAAGCGGAGGAAAAGAAACUAACAAGGAUUCCCCUAGUAACGGCGAGUGAAGCGGGAAGAGCUCAAAUUUGAAAUCUUAAAGGGUUUCCCUUUACGAAUUGUAGUUUAAAGAAGUGUUUUCUGUUGAGGUUUUGGUAAAAGUUCUUUGGAAUAGGACAUCAUAGAGGGUGAGAAUCCCGUAUUUGACCUUUACUUUCAACUUUGUGAUACACUUUCAAAGAGUCGGAUUGUUUGGGAAUGCAGUCCAAAAUGGGUGGUAAAUUUCAUCUAAAGCUAAAUAUUGGCGAGAGACCGAUAGCGAACAAGUACCGUGAGGGAAAGAUGAAAAGAACUUUGAAAAGAGAGUUAAACAGUACGUGAAAUUGUCAAAAGGGAAGCGUUUGACACCAGUGUUGUUUUUCUGAAAAUCAAUUAAAGAACUGUUUAUGCUAAGUUGUUUAGACUUUAUCAGCUAUCUGUUUAGUUUUAGGCUUUUCUUUAAUGCACUUUUCAGUUAACAAGUCAACAUCAAUUUCUUUUGCUGUAAAAAAGCUUGAGGAAGGUGGCUUGAGAUUCGUCUUAAGUGUUUAUAAGCCUCUUGCCUAUGCAGUCGGAGAGAUUGAGGUCUGCAGCGUAGAUCCUUCGGGGCUAAAUGCAUUCGUGCUAAGUUAUAGCAUUUUAUAGACAACUUGUUGACUAUGAUUUGUCUUGUAGCUUACUCGCUUAUGUUAUUUUACCUACGCUUAGGAUGUUGAACGCGCACAGAGUCUC
rnacentral:rRNA from 1 species